CAACAUUCCGUGAGGAGCAGGAGAGAAACUGGUAACUGGCAGGCAGCCGCCGCCAGAGCGGCCGGCCACCGAGCAAUUCAGUUAGCUUUUGUUUCUCGACCGGGUGAGACGCACAUGUUGAACCGUUCGUGGUCUCGUCGUCCGCAGCAUAAGUUCAAACGUAUCGUCCGUUCUUCGUGUAUAGUACCCGUCUCCGGGGGCAGCCGUGUGAAAUCUCCCGACGAACAAGUAAGGAAGCGGCAGUGCAGUGUGUACGCGACGAGUGUGUUUGUGCACGCGGUACGUCCGUGAGAGUGAUCCCAGUCCGCGCCGGUCCCGGUGUACCACCACCCCAUCCCGGCUGUAGUAGCUGUGUUGUAGGUAUAAUCCACCAAAGUCAGCAAGGUUGAAAACCGCGCCGUGAAAUCCGUCGAAGUGUACCUUUUGCGAGAGCUGUAUUUCGCGGGUUCUGGUUUUACUGGUUCUUACUCGUUCAGUUGUUCGCGCGAGGUCCGCACGACAUUCGUCGCGGCCGUCGUCGUUUGCCCUUGGAACCUACGCGCGUCGACGCAAUCACGGAAACUUGACCGUGUAGUGUCUCGACGGGGGUACUCUGUAGUGUGCGGGUGAAGAGCAGGAGCACCACAUCAAACAAGCACCAUUAGCAAGGGUUCAGGUCGUUGUUGUUGUUUUUGUUGUUCAACGGCCACAGUGUUCAGAAGGACAGGAGGUCUGAAAAGAAAAAAGCGCGCGCCAAAUGCUUCGGAAAUUCACCUCAUUGCCCGCUGAAGUUGAAGAAGCGUUUUUGCCUGACUGACGGAGAAGAAGUCUCACGCGCGCGCGGCCGAAAUAAGAAGAAGAGAAGCGCCGAGCGCACAGGAGAGCAUCACCAGCGAAGAAGUGAAUAGUCGAAGGAAGUGUGUGUGUGUGUGUGUGUGUGGAUGUAUGUGGUGUGUUCGUUUAUCGUCGUCAUAAAGUGAGUGUGUCCGCUUCGCAUCAACGAAAGACGAAGAGCGGCAAGAGCGCAAGAAUUACAGGCAAAUAAAAGGUCGCACAAAGAAGAAUAAGUAACAACAUCAGUAGGAGCAGAAGCAGCAACAACAAUAAGAAGAGUGAAGUGGGUGAGGGUGAAGGAGAGAGCGGCAGAGGGAGAGAGUGGCAAUCGGUAAUAAAGAGUGGAGAGAAGCACCCUCUGGAGGCAGCGGUAAUAAACCCAGAAGAAGGUAGUACACAAGUAUCAACGCGGAAGGCGCGGAAGCGGAGAGCAAAGCAAGGAGUGCCAGCGGGGAGCAAUCGCCGGAGUGAAAGAGAAAAACUCAGCACAAUGUGGGCCACGGUUCGACGGAAAUAACCUUUCACUCGCGUUGCCGCCGCCGCCGCCACCGCCAACAUCGGGGACGCAGCCAGGCCGCAGGAAAAGAAUAAGCGUAGUGCGUAGCAAACCAGUGUAGAUGUUGUGCGAUAAACGCAAGUGUUGACCUCAAGUGAGCUCAAUCCGAUAUCCAAUUUUUAGUUGGAUUUUUUAUUUCAAGUGCAAAAGAAAAAUACAAAGAAGAAAACAGAAAUAAAGUGACCAACAGAAGAAACCCAAACCCCGAAGAGCCACUCGCAGUCAGUGGCGCAAAACCGUUUUUCCCCCAAAACCCCGCCAAAAUACGUCAACUAGCGACGACGACGUCGACGACGCCGCACUAGCGAAACGAUGUUGCCGAAACGAUCCCGUUUGGGCGAUGUCCGGGGACCGAUCUCGAACGGACCGCUGCAGUCGCGGCCGUUGGUGGCCCUGCUGGACGGGCGGGACUGCUCGAUCGAGAUGCCCAUAUUGAAGGACGUUGCCACAGUCGCGUUCUGCGACGCACAGAGCACAUCGGAGAUUCACGAAAAAGUAUUAAACGAAGCGGUGGGCGCGCUAAUGUGGCACACAAUCAUCCUCACAAAAGAAGAUCUGGAAAAGUUCAAAGCGUUACGGAUAAUCGUCCGCAUCGGCAGCGGCGUCGACAACAUCGAUGUGAAAGCCGCCGGCGAGCUGGGCAUCGCCGUGUGUAAUGUGCCCGGCUAUGGCGUCGAGGAAGUCGCCGAUACCACCAUCUGUCUGAUCCUGAACCUCUACCGGCGGACGUACUGGCUAGCGAAUAUGGUCCGAGAGGGCAAAAAAUUCACAGGACCAGAACAAGUGCGGGACGCAGCGCAGGGCUGUGCAAGAAUACGAGGAGAUACCCUGGGGUUGGUCGGUUUGGGCAGAAUAGGCAGUGCGGUGGCGCUCCGGGCGAAGGUGUUCGGUUUCAACGUGAGUUUCUACGAUCCUUACCUGCCGGACGGAAUCGAGAAAUCGCUCGGCCUGAACCGCGUCUACACCCUGCAAGAGCUGCUAUUCCACUCAGACUGCGUGUCGUUACACUGUACAUUAAAUGAACAUAAUCAUCACUUAAUUAACGAGUUCACGCUUAAACAGAUGAGACCCGGUGCAUUUCUAGUGAACACAGCCCGCGGCGGACUGGUGGACGACGAAGCGCUCGCCCUCGCACUGAAACAGGGCCGAAUCCGGGCGGCCGCCCUCGAUGUUCAUGAGAAUGAGCCAUUCAAUGUAUUUCAGGGUUCCCUGAAAGACACACCCAACCUGCUGUGUACGCCCCAUGCCGCCUUCUACAGCGAGGCCGCUACGACCGAACUGCGCGAGAUGGCAGCCAGCGAAAUCCGGCGGGCAAUCAUUGGCAAUAUUCCGGACUGUCUCCGGAACUGCGUCAACAAGGAAUACUUCCUACGAUCGUCGACGGGCGGCGGUGCCGGAGGAUACUCAGACACUGGUAAAAAUGGCGGCCAUUAUUAUUCAGGUGGAUUACAGCAAGCACAUAGUACAACGCCGCUCGAGUUACCGCUCAGUUCUGGACCGCACGGGCCGCCCAGUGGACCCCCGCCACCGUCAGUCGCCGUACCACCUGUCUCCGCUGUCACAGCGCCACCACCACAAGAUAUUGAUGCACUUGAUUACGGAACCGUAGCUUUUAAUGCCCAAAACAAGCACAAUUUCCGUUAAUGAACAAUUCACCUACACCCACCUACCACCACCACCACCUACAUACACACACAAACACACACCCAUAGAAUCAUCUCUCAUCCCUGGUGUUUGUUGACCGAUGGCACCGCCGGGGCAAAACUAACUCUGAGCCUCUUAGUGCCCCCGAUCCAAGUAAUCAUCAUUCGGUUAAGCCGGAAUCAUCGGAAGUACAUUAGUUUCAUUAUUACUAUUAUUAUUAAUGUAUGGCUUAUUGUUAGUUGAUACACGAAAGUUGAUAAAAAAAUCCGACCGCAAGUGCGUGCAAACAGGCAAAGUUAGGAAAACGCAGAUCUUUUUUUUCGAACACACACACUCACUUUGAUGAGGGAUUAAAAACAGUAAACAAAGAGAGAUAAUUACAGAAAACAAAUAUAUAUUGAGGGCGAGAACACUGAAGAAACGAUAAUAAUUAUGAAUGAUAAAACAUGGCAGAGAAAAGAAAACAAGAAAUUGUGAGAAAUAAUUAUUAGUAAGAUGUGAGAAGUUACUGCAACAUAAGAAGAAAAAGGUAUAAGCAAACGAGAGAACGUGAAUAAAAAGGAGUAAUACAAAAUAGUUUUAUGUAAGGAAACAAAACUAUGUAUAGUAAUACCUAACAGAAGUAGACAAGCAAACACAAAUACAUACAUACAAAAAUAGAAAUAGACCACCACUACCACAACAACAAAACGACGACGUUAAGAAACUUUCAAAAAGACUUCACAUAGCCCAGUAGAAAUAUUGACAACAGACAUUUUCGCUUCCAAUGAUUCACUAAAUUUGUAAUUCAACUUUGAGAUCUGCCGAAAAAUAAGGACAAAUUUCAUUAACAACAAACGGACUCACACAUACACUUACAUGCGAACUUCUAUGUUGUAGCGGUACAUUUAAAAAAUGAAUUGCUUCCUUUUUGUUUUAAAACUCGUUUAAUAAGAUAUAAAUAUGAAUUGGAUUAUAUUUUAUUUUUUUCUCGUGUAAGUAGAAGAACAGAAAUUCCUUUUAUUUUUUAAUGUACGUAGGAGUUAGAAUGGAAAAAAAAUAUACAAAACACAGAAGAGGAAACGAAAACUAAUAAAGCAGCAGCACAGGAAUACAUGAGAGUGUCUGUAUAGGUAUACGCGUGUGUUUGGUGGUAAGACAGUAGUCGUUCGUGCGAGCGCGAGUGCGAAUUCGGUUCACAGCUUAUUACUAUUGACCAACGCGGGGUAGUGGUGGGAAUGAGAGGGAGAACGGGAGACAGAGAGAAAGCGCGAGUUAGAGACAGUUUUCGUGACGAUGGCUAUAACCAGUACGAACGAAAGUACCCCAUUUGGCAUAACGCCGAUUGGCAUUACGAGUGUUAGGCAUCAUGGUCAUUUGGUAGGACGACACGGUCGUUGUUUUACUCAAUGAACAUUAUGCCAAACGACCGUUAUGCGGUGGUGUAUGGCCACUCAAGUAAAAUGAUUUAGUCAAACAGACUAGAGAAGGUUCUUAGAACCAUCAUAAAACCAAAGUAAAAGCAUUAGAUUUUAUGAAGGUUCUCAAAACCUCUACAAGACUAAUUGGCUACAAAAAUGUUACUUGAGCGUUUAGUAUAAUGGUCGUUUAGCAUAAUGAACAUUUGGCAAAGUUCGUUUGCCAUAACAUGAUGAAAGGGCAAUCUUAAAACGAUUUUUGUUUUGCCAAACGGCCAUAAGGCGACACCUAUUCUGUACGUAUUGUGGCAAAUCAUAGGAAUAACCAAUCUGCCCGAGUUUUCUUUCAAUCGGUAUCCUGUAAGAGUUCCACUACUGAGUGUGCCAUAUUUCGAGAGCAUUCUUAAUCCUUCAACUUUGAUCUCUGUAUGCGUCUCGAGAUUGAGAUAUAUUUUUCAAAUAUGGUAAUUCACAACGUUGAUGUAGAAGUGUCCAAUUUGGUAUAAAGAAUAUGCAAUAUUACGGUCGUUUCAAAUUCCCAAAUUGAGUACAUGUUUGUUGAUAUGUCAUAAUUACAUUAUGCCAAACGAAAUUGUUGUUAUACCAAUUGAUAGUAUGGCUGAAGUCGUUAUUCAUUCUACUCCUUCAUUAUGCACAUUCAUUUAAUUUGAUCCCCCAAACACAAUUCUAAAAGCAGUAUGGCGAACCGUUUUGGCAUAAUGCCAUUUGGCAUAACAUUCUUUCGUUAACAAUAAAAAAAUGGUUCCUCUUUUCAAAGAGAUCAACUCAUGCCAUAUAUGCCAAAUGGUUUAUAUGACAAGCGACCAUUAUAUGAAGCGGCGUUAUGCUAAACGGGGCACUUUUGCUGAAAAUAUAGCAGAUUGUAACACUUGUAUGAUUCUCAUUAGCCAUUUUCAUCAAAUGCAUUUUUCCCAUCGACCACUAAAGCCGAGGUUCUUUUCCUCUUCGCCGAACAGGUUCACCCCGCCUGCCAUCGUCCGGAUUCCGCUUUCCCGUAGGUCAGGAGUUAGGAACCACAGCCGCACUCAAGUAACCGUGCGCGAACCAGCUAAGAGAAAUGAAAAGAAAAAAAAACAUUGUGACGACUAUAGAUAUAUACAAGUAGAUGUAAAACCAAGCUAAUAAACGUGAGAAGAAAAAAAAGAUGGAAAGAAAACAACUACGAUCAGACAAAACAAGUUUUAAUCUAAAUAAUAAGAACAGGAAAAACCCCCCUAACCGUAUGCUUUAAGAAUGUAAGAGAACUUAGUAAGAGAGAAAAGUCGAAAGCAAACAACAAACAUCAUGAUCGUUGAACAUACACAAUCUUAAGUCAAUGCCCCAAUUAAGAGAUGAAAUGCAAACUAGAAGAUGAGAUUUAACAUUCAAAAAGCAACCGACAGGAUACCUUUCCGAGAACAACAGUGCGCUAUAAACCAAGACCUCCCUACUGUUCCGGUAGAAAAUUGACAACUUAAGCAUUGAAAAACACACAAAUUGCACUAGAUAUUACCCCCAUUGUAGUGCUGAAGCAUUUGUUAAACGAAAAUUGAAAGGACAAACAUUGAGAGAAUAAACGAAAUGAGAUGAAACAAAGCUCGUUUAGAUUCAAUUAGUGAAAAAAAAAAAGAAAUUCACUGAGAAAUAACAGAAAAAAAUGUUGAAAAAGAGCAUACCUGCAGCACAUUCAUUCCGUUGCGCGCGCAUCUACAGAAUAGUACACAAAACAGAAAGGGAAAAUCUAAAAAAAAAAAACAAUAAAACAUGUUAGCGACAGUUUUCGAGGGCUUCCCAAGCCUAUCACAAGAAUCCACACGAUGGAGAUAAGCCGCCGAAUACCCCCUUAAAUGUGAACAAACAUCAGCAAACAGGUUAGAGCAGAGUGUGAAGACCGAUGGAAAACAGGAAGGCAUAUAAAUAAAAACUGAAACUUGGGUAAAAAUUACAAUAAAAAGUA